rnacentral:rRNA from 1 species
GUCUGCAGCCAUACCACCCUGAACAUGCCUGAUCUCGUCUGGUCUCGGAAGCUUAGCAGACUCAGGCCAGGUUAGUACUUGGAUAAAAGAAGUCGGAUUUAACUCAAGGGC